GGCCGCAUGGUGAAGUGGUUUGAGUGUUGGACUAGGACUCUGGGAGAUCAGUGUUUGAAUCCCUGUGGGGCCA